CCUACGGGUGGCAGCAGUGAGGAAUAUUGGUCAAUGGGCGGAAGCCUGAACCAGCCACGUAGCGUGCGGGAUGAAGGCCCUACGGGUCGUAAACCGCUUUUGCACGGGGAUAACACCCUCCUCUUGUGGAGGUCUGCAGGUACCGUGCGAAUAAGGGACGGCUAAUUCCGUGCCCGCAGCCGCGGUACUGCGGAAGGCCGGGGCGUUAUCCGGAUGCGUUGGGCUAAAGGGGAGGGUAGGCGGGAGUUAAAGACAGCUGUAAAGUCGAGCGGAUCAACCGCGCCCCGCAGUUGAAACUGGACGCCUUGAGUGCACAAGAGGCAGGCGGAAUUCGUGGUGUAGCGGUGAAAUGCAUAGAUAUCACGAGGAACCCCGAUUGCGAAGGCAGCCUGCCGGGGUGCGACUGACGCUGAGGCUCGAAGGUGCGGGUAUCAAACAGGAUUAGAUACUCUUGUAGUC
rnacentral:rRNA from 1 species